CGCACCUGCAGAGGGAGAGGCUGCAGGGUCUUCCUGCUCAGGAGACCCCAAGAACACAAGCCAGAUACGCAUCUACCCGGGCUCCGGUAUAGACAUUUCCUGAGAGCUUCCUGUGAGCGAGGCGCCCUCCAGGAGCCGCUGUCCAGUCCGGAGAUGGACACUCGGGAGGGAUUCGGUUACCUUGGGGGGGAUUCCAGCACCAACAGCAGCACCACCAAACCAGCCAAAACCAUACCGCACCCCGGACAGCAAGGCGAGCUGACGGACAGCCUGCCCCUUCCCUCUGCUGGGAGCUGUCCUGUCCAGGCGCCCCGGGCUUAGACCUGGCUCUUCUCCAAGGCCAGCUUUGGCCUCUCCUGCAAAUAUCCAGGGAUAGAAAAAACCGUCAAGGAUGGAGGUGACAUCUUCUCUGCCCAGGACCUGGGAUGGGGGGGUGCGGGGGGGAGGGGUGGAAGAGGUCCCCACAGCAGGGCGGGAGGGGCGGGAACGGAGGUGGGGAGAUGGGUGCUUGAGGCCUGGUAGGAGUUGCUGGCUCCCAGCAGCCUGUGGCUGUGGUGGGGAUCAGAGCGGCUGUGAACACAGGAGGACUCCGUCCCCUCUUGUGCACAUCUAGCCCCUGGGCUUCCUGCAGUCCCGCCAGCAAGCCAAGCCCCUGAGACACAGGGGUUUGUGAUGGGGGGUUCUGGAUGCUGCUAGGCAAAGCCGUAACUGCUCGGUGGUUCCUUUAACAGCUGCUUGGCGAGUCAGACGGGCGAGGUACGGCAGGCCUGCCUUACGCACUGCGGGCACAGCAGUGGACGGCAGACACUGCCCGCACGCUCCUGGAGCACACAGAAGUCCCUCGGCCGGCCUAGGGGCUUUGACAGAGGCAGAGCGGGGUGAGAGGGUGGAGGGGCAGGGGAGCUGGCCAACUGGGUUAUAGGGAGAAAUGGGGAGGAGGUGAGGAAGGGAAUUUGUUUAAAAGCCUGUUUGUUUAUUCUUUUUUAUUUAUUUGAAAGGCAGAGAGAGAAAUGUUCCAUCCUUCGGUUCACUUCCCAAAUGCCUACAACAGCCGCUGGUGCUGGGCCAGGCAGAAGCCAGGAGCCAGAAACUUAAUCCUGGUCUCCGGCAUGGGUGUCAGGGCCCCAAGUACUUGAGCCAUCACCUCCCAGGGUGAGCGUUAGCAAGAAGCUGAAUGGUUAGUGGAGGUGUGACUCCAUCUGGGGAUGCGGGUGCCCCAGGCCAGGCCAAAGUGCUACACCACCACAGCUGCCCAAGAAUCUCACCGAGUCCUAGGAGGGGUGCCCCAGGCAGAGGAAGCAGCAGAUGCAGCGCUCCGGAGGUGAGAGUGUGCAGCCUUGACGGCGGCCAGAGGAAGCGGCCCCUAACAUCUAGAUCUCCACCUGCCCCUCCUCCUAUGGGGCCUUCUGUGCCAUCUGGGCCCAUCCCCCGGGGGCAGCCCGCCACCUGGCGGCAGAGUGCAGUCAAUACAUCGCUUUCCGGCACCUUCAGCCUGAGCUUAGAGCGCCAGCUGGCGCCGCCGUUCAGUCCGAAGCUGCGGAGCCGCGGGUAGAGCCGGGGCAGCGAGGCCCCGCACUUCCACCCCACCACGGGCACAGAGCCCCCCGUGGCUGGGCUGUGCCCCCUGGCUGGUCUCUGUCUCAUCCUUUCUUGGAUCAAGUUGUAAGCAGUAUUCUUCUCACUUAUUCAUUCAAUAAAUAUGUAUCUACUUAAA